rnacentral:rRNA from 1 species
UACGAAGGGGGCCAGCGUUGCUCGGAAUCACUGGGCGUAAAGGGUGCGUAGGCGGGUCUUUAAGUCGGGGGUGAAAUCCUGGAGCUCAACUCCAGAACUGCCUUCGAUACUGGAAGACUUGAGUCCGGGAGAGGUGAGUGGAACUGCGAGUGUAGAGGUGAAAUUCGUAGAUAUUCGCAAGAACACCAGUGGCGAAGGCGGCUCACUGGCCCGGUACUGACGCUGAGGUGCGAAAGCGUGGGGAGCAAACAGG